AGAGAACUGAGCAAUAGACCAGAGUCUUUCAGCUCUAACAUAUAUUGCAGGAUGACGCUGAGAGGCGCUGUGGUUGGUAUCAAGUUUCUACAUUCUGUCCAUGUGAGGACCCUAUGCCAUUUGUAAAGGUAAGCCAUUGAGAAACCAAGCAUGAAGCUGGAGUGACUGGAGGUUGGGAUGGUACAAGGUGCCCCUCUCCUGUGUUAGGAAGUGAGAAAGAAGGGAGAGACGCCAUGGCUGUUUCAUGGACAUUUGAGUAAGGUCCACAUUGGGAAACCCCCAGCGCGUGAAGAGGCAAUGUAGAAUCAAUGAAUCCAGUUCCUAUUCGUGGUUG